rnacentral:rRNA from 1 species
GUAGUCUCGCACAGAUGCAUAUCAAUAAGCGGAGGAAAAGAAACUAACAAGGAUUCCCCUAGUAACGGCGAGUGAAGCGGGAAGAGCUCAAAUUUGAAAUCUUAAAGGGUUUCCCUUUACGAAUUGUAGUUUAAAGAAGUGUUUUCUGUUGAGGUUUUGGUAAAAGUUCUUUGGAAUAGGACAUCAUAGAGGGUGAGAAUCCCGUAUUUGACCUUUACUUUCAACUUUGUGAUACACUUUCAAAGAGUCGGAUUGUUUGGGAAUGCAGUCCAAAAUGGGUGGUAAAUUUCAUCUAAAGCUAAAUAUUGGCGAGAGACCGAUAGCGGACAAGUACCGUGAGGGAAAGAUGAAAAGAACUUUGAAAAGAGAGUUAAACAGUACGUGAAAUUGUCAAAAGGGAAGCGUUUGACACCAGUGUUGUUUUUCUGAAAAUCAAUUAAAGAACUGUUUAUGCUAAGCUGUUUAGACUUUAUCAGCUAAUCUGUUUAGUUUUGAGCUUUUCUUUAAUGCACUUUUCAGUUAACAAGUCAACAUCAAUUUCUUUUGCUGUAAAAAAGCUUGAGGAAGAUGGCUUGAGAUUCGUCUUAAGUGUUUAUAGCCUCUUGCCUAUGCAGUCGGAGAGAUUGAGGUCUGCAGCGUAGAUCCUUCGGGGCUAAAUGCAUUUGUGCUAAGUUAUAACAUUUUAUAGACAACUUGUUGACUAUGAUUUGUCUUGUAGCUUACUCGCUUAUGUUAUUUUACCUACGCUUAGGAUGUUGAUCUGUAGUGCGUGCGC